AUGGAGCAUCUCUGCCAUGCACUCCUCCUGUACUCUCUGACAAGGCUUGCCUAAACCAACGUGCUCUGUCUCUCCAGGUAUCUAUUCGCUAGCUCUAAAUUCCCAGGUAACAAUUCCAAACUUCCCAGUAGUGGGAUGGAGGAUGGAUCAGAGAGGCGUGAGUGUUAAACAAAGGUCAGAGUCCAGGGCCAGUGAAGUUUAUCUUUCCUUGUGUUAUUUGCAUGGCAAAGGUUCAGGUACUAAAUUAACAAGAAGCUGCAAAGACCUUAAAAAAAAAAAGGCAGGAGGCCAAGAAUAUUCUUCCUCCUCUCUCUCCACGCCCUGGAAUAUAUCUUAAAACAAAUAGGCUUCUUCAUAUUUCUCUGGUGUUCAAAGGAGAUGUAGAGUGAAGCCAGGAUUUCUGAAACAAUGUGCUUCCAGCCAAGCAUGGCAGCUCCUGGCCACAGCCUCUCCUGCCCAGAGAGAUGGACCAAGGAUUAAGUCAAGAUGGGCUCAAUGAGACCAUGAAAACAAGGGUCUCAUUACAGACCUGGGUGUUGGAUAUGACCCAGCAGGUCUCGGCCACGAACCAUAUCUGAGGGGCUGCACUGGAGGGAUCACACCUGGAGAAUUUCAUCCCACCGAGAUCUGAUUUGGGGGUGAGAUCCUGGGCCUCAAGCCUCAGAGUGAUUCAGGACUGGAAAGAUGCUUUGGAAGUUUUGUUGGUUUUUGUUUUGAGGGGAUGACUAUUGUGCGAGUGGCUCUGUACCAUUAGGAGCUGAAGGGCAGACUGGAGAUUAUUACAUGCGUGUCCCUGGUGAACCAUGCCUCGCCUCUGGUAUUCACAUCCUUGUGUGGCCUCAGGGCUUGCCUAAUGUGGCAGCAAGAACGGUGCAUGCACAUCCUGGUAAGUGCCUCUGCUUGUCCUCUCGAAACAUGCCUUGGGAUCCAGUGGCCACGUGUCAAGAAGCCCAUAUUAUACGAGGCAACGCGGAGAGACACGCUGGAGGAUCAAAGACCACCUUGGGUGCUCUGGCUCCCACCAGGCGCCCAGCCGAAGGCAGCUGCCUGAGUGACCUCAGCUAUACCACGAACCGUCUAGCUGAGUCCUGACAACCCACAGAAUCAUGAGAAAUAACAAAUUGUUGUUUUAAAGCUCUAA